rnacentral:lncRNA from 1 species
AACUUUACUUAGCGUUCAAAAACAUCAAAAGAAUUAAACUUUGAUAACAUAGACACCUAAAUCAUUAACACUAACUAUCUCAACUAAAGUCGAUACAUAUCAAGCCCAAACUAUGAUAAUGAAACACGGAAAUUUUAAAAAGAAAGACAUGAAAAUCAAGUCACAAGAUCUUCUACAAACCUGAAAAGAUCGAGGUGUCUGAGAACAAUGCACAAGGAAACAAAUACAAUCACAACAGUCAAUAUUCAUGCUACUUUUAAUCAUAAAACAAUCGUCCAAAGACAGACAUACUAGUGAAAACAAAUCAAACAAAAUCACCUAAGACAUACAAAAAUGCAAACUACAUACUUUACAUGCUUUAUAGAUGUCAAUACCCAAUCAAAUACGAAUCCAUUCUCCCUCAAUGUCACGAGAAACAACUACAGGUACAAGAGAUCGGUUGCCACAAACCAACAAUCAAAAAAGUAAGCAACUUUGAUA